AAAGACCACAAUUUUACACUCUUUAUAUCCAACGUUUGAUCGUCCGUCUUAUUUAAAAAUAAUUAUGAUUAAUAUUUUUAUUGUUAUUAGAAUGAUAAAACACGAAUAAUACUUUAUGUAUGACUAUUUUUUUAAUUUUUUAUAAAUUAUUUAAAUAAAACGGAUGUUCGAAAGUUAGAAAAAAAAAUUCACGACU
rnacentral:pre_miRNA from 1 species